rnacentral:ribozyme from 1 species
UUUGUAGAUAUUCUUGCCCAAAACCAAAAACAAAAAAAGAAAACAAAGAGAAAAGGCGUUCUCGAGUUUUCUCUCCUGAGUUCUAGAUUCUCUUUGUUUCUUGUUUUUUCUCACUUCUCUCACCCUAAUAGCAAGUUU